rnacentral:tRNA from 1 species
GAGGCUAUGGCUCAGUGGUAGAGCAACUUUUUUGCAUACAGAAGGUCCCAGGUUCAAUCCCUGGCAUCCCCA